AUCACAGCCCUGGAGCCUGAACCCCUCUCCUUACCCACAAAACCAGUACCCACAAAACCAGUACAGCACAAGCAGAGAGUGUGAGAGCUUCCCCAAUCCACCUCAUCCUUGUGCCUCAUCCAUGACCUAGAGGGGUAACCUCUAGGCAUGAGUGGGUAACUCAGUCUCUGUGCUUAUUUAAUCCUUGGCCAAC
rnacentral:sRNA from 1 species